ACUCCUACGGGAGGCAGCAGUGGGGAAUAUUGGACAAUGGGCGAAAGCCUGAUCCAGCCAUGCCGCGUGUGUGAAGAAGGUCUUCGGAUUGUAAAGCACUUUAAGUUGGGAGGAAGGGCAUUAACCUAAUACGUUAGUGUUUUGACGUUACCGACAGAAUAAGCACCGGCUAACUUC
rnacentral:rRNA from 1 species